rnacentral:rRNA from 1 species
AUACGUAGGGUGCAAGCGUUAAUCGGAAUUACUGGGCGUAAAGCGUGCGCAGGCGGUUUUGUAAGACAGUGGUGAAAUCCCCGGGCUCAACCUGGGAACUGCCCUUGUGACUGCAAGGCUGGAGUGCGGCAGAGGGGGAUGGAAUUCCGCGUGUAGCAGUGAAAUGCGUAGAUAUGCGGAGGAACACCGAUGGCGAAGGCAAUCCCCUGGGCCUGCACUGACGCUCAUGCACGAAAGCGUGGGGAGCAAACAGGAUUAGAUACCCUGGUAGUCCACGCCCUAAACGAUGUCAACUGGUUGUUGGGGAUUUAUUUUCUCAGUAACGAAGCUAACGCGUGAAGUUGACCGCCUGGGGAGUACGGCCGCAAGGUUAAAACUCAAAGGAAUUGACGGGG